rnacentral:rRNA from 1 species
AACGAACGCUGGCGGCAGGCUUAACACAUGCGAGUCGAACGCCCCGCAAGGGGAGUGGCAGACGGGUGAGUAACGCGUGGGAACAUACCCUUUUCUACGGAAUAGCUCUGGGAAACUGGAAUUAAUACCGUAUACGCCCUACGGGGGAAAGAUUUAUCGGGGAAGGAUUGGCCCGCGUUGGAUUAGCUAGUUGGUGGGGUAAAGGCCUACCAAGGCGACGAUCCAUAGCUGGUCUGAGAGGAUGAUCAGCCACAUUGGGACUGAGACACGGCCCAAACUCCUACGGGAGGCAGCAGUGGGGAAUAUUGGACAAUGGGCGCAGGCCUGAUCCAGCCAUGCCGCGUGAGUGAUGAAGGCCUUAGGGUUGUAAAGCUCUUUCACCGAUGAAGAUAAUGACGGUAGUCGGAGAAGAAGCCCCGGCUAACUUCGUG